rnacentral:rRNA from 1 species
AUUGAACGCUGGCGGCAUGCCUUACACAUGCAAGUCGAACGGCAGCACGGGAGCAAUCCUGGUGGCGAGUGGCGAACGGGUGAGUAAUAUAUCGGAACGUGCCCAGACGUGGGGGAUAACGUAGCGAAAGCUACACUAAUACCGCAUGUGAUCUGUGGAUGAAAGCGGGGGAUCGCAAGACCUCGCGCGUUUGGAGCGGC